UUUUAGUGACAAUAACAACAUAUCCUCUAAAAAAGGCUCUCUGUACUUUUAUACUGCCCUCACCUGAUGAAGCCCACAAAGGACACACACACACACAUACAUACACACACACACACACACACACACACACACACACACACACACACACACAUAAUAGAAAUUAGAUCCCUAGCUGCAGGUAAGAAAACUCUCCAGGUCUUUACCAGAUGAUUCAAUUAUUCAGUGUGUCAGGAUCGGACCAACACACGCACGCACACGCGCACACACACACACACACACACUCACAACCUCACUCUCUCUCAUAGGCAAUGAUACUGGGUGUGUGUCCUAUCAGGAUGAUUCUNNNNNNNNNNGCGGAUGGCGGUUGCUAGGUAACCAGGUAGAAUAGGGCUUGAAUUACACCGGUGUCUCUCCCUGUCCCAAAUGCAGGCACCUCUUUUCCCCGACCUCAUCCGCUCUUUCCUAAAGCUAGACACCCAUCUCUUAUUUUUUGGUGGAGUUUGAGGCCUCUGCGAGGAGAAGCAAUAUAAAACCAACCGAAAAGUACUACAUCUUACAUUUGGAACCUUUUGGAACUCUCUAGAACCUUCCAGAACCUUGAAGAACGUUAGAAUUUUCUGAUCCCUGUUGACGUCUACUAGGAGCCACCUGAGGAACUGAAGCAACUUUUUCGCUUUUCUCCGACUAGUCUGUUGUCUCUACUGGUCUGUACUGGUCUGAACUGGUUGUGUGGUUUGUACUGGUCUGAACUGGUCUGAACUGGUCUGAACUGGUCUGUAGUGGUCAAGAUGCGACGGUUUGUGCUUAAGGCCCUCUGUGCAGCAUUGCUGGUCUUUGCAGUGUUGAGCGCCACUUCCUGUCAGUCGGACUCUUCAGACUGCUCCCAGGCUGAGUCAUGUGACCUGUGUGUUGGAGACUCCACCCUCAACUUGACUGGCUGUGUCUGGAGGGUCUGCGUGAACGGUGAGAAAUAUCAGAUGCAAUACGCAUAAGAGGAAGUCUUAGCUUCUAUUCUAAGGGUUUUAGUGACAAUAACAACAUAUCCUCUAAAAAAGGCUCUCUGUACUUUUAUACUGCCCUCACCUGAUGAAGCCCACAAAGGACACACACACACACAUACAUACACACACACACACACACACACACACACACACACACACACACACACACAUAAUAGAAAUUAGAUCCCUAGCUGCAGGUAAGAAAACUCUCCAGGUCUUUACCAGAUGAUUCAAUUAUUCAGUGUGUCAGGAUCGGACCAACACACGCACGCACACGCGCACACACACACACACACACACUCACAACCUCACUCUCUCUCAUAGGCAAUGAUACUGGGUGUGUGUCCUAUCAGGAUGAUUC
rnacentral:lncRNA from 13 species